GAUGAACGCUGGCGGCGUGCCUAAUACAUGCAAGUCGAGCGAACGGACGAGAAGCUUGCUUCUCUGAUGUUAGCGGCGGACGGGUGAGUAACACGUGGCUAACCUACCUAUAAGACUGGGAUAACUUCGGGAAACCGGAGCUAAUACCGGAUAAUAUUUUGAACCGCAUGGUUCAAAAGUGAAAGACGGUCUUGCUGUCACUUAUAGAUGGAUCCGCGCUGCAUUAGCUAGUUGGUAAGGUAACGGCUUACCAAGGCAACGAUGCAUAGCCGACCUGAGAGGGUGAUCGGCCACACUGGAACUGAGACACGGUCCAGACUCCUACGGGAGGCAGCAGUAGGGAAUCUUCCGCAAAGGGCGAAAGCCUGACGGAGCAACGCCGCGUGAGUGAUGAAGGUCUUCGGAUCGUAAAACUCUGUUAUUAGGGAAGAACAUAUGUGUAAGUAACUGUGCACAUCUUGACGGUACCUAAUCAGAAAGCCACGGCUAACUACGUG
rnacentral:rRNA from 1 species